AGCAGGCGCGCAAAUUACCCAAUCCCGACACGGGGAGGUAGUGACAAUAAAUAACAAUACGGGGCUCUUUCGGGUCUCGUAAUUGGAAUGAGUACAAUUUAAAUCCCUUAACGAGGAACAAUUGGAGGGCAAGUCUGGUGCCAGCGGCCGCGGUAAUUCCAGCUCCAAUAGCGUAUAUUAAAGUUGUUGCAGUUAAAAAGCUCGUAGUUGAAUUUCGGGAUUGACACAUCGGUCGUGCCUUAAGGGGUAUGAACUGGUGUAGUCAAUUUCUCACCUUCUGGAGAACCGCGAUGCCCUUAAUUGGGUGUCACGGGGAACCAGGACCUUUACUUUGAAAAAAUUAGAGUGUUUAAAGCAGGCAUUUUGCUUGAAUACAUUAGCAUGGAAUAAUAAAAUAGGACGGCAUGAUUCUAUUUUGUUGGUUUCUAGGAUCACCGUAAUGAUUAAUAGGGAUAGUUGGGGGCAUUAGUAUUCAAUUGUCAGAGGUGAAAUUCUUGGAUUUAUUGAAGACUAACUACUGCGAAAGCAUUUGCCAAGGAUGUUUUCAUUAAUCAAGAACGAAAGUUAGGGGAUCGAAGACGAUCAGAUACCGUCGUAGUCUUAACCAUAAACUAUGCCGACUAGGAAUCAGACGAUGUUAAUUUUUUAAUGACUCGUUUGGCACCUUACGGGAAACCAAAGUGU
rnacentral:rRNA from 1 species